CUGAAGCCUGGGGGAGGAGGGUGGAAGUGGCGGAGACAAAGAAGCCGAGAGGCUGGAGGGUGCUUCGUGCUCUCUCGUCUCCGGGCUGGGGCCCGGCGUUCAGCCUUGGGGCAGCGCCUCUCGCUGCCGUGCAAGAUGCCAGCGGGGGCGGGCUGACAAAGGGCUUUUUCCAGGCUGGUCGUUCUUAUAAUAGUGCAGCAGCUGCCCCACCUUCACCCCGCCUGCCCUUGAGUCGGCCAAAGCCGCGCUUCUCAAGCCUUACGCAGUCUGCUGCCGAUCGCCCCGAACUGGGCGGGGGUAUCGGACGACCUAGGGGCUGCUACAGGUUCACACUUCCUAAAAAUCUCUUGCGACUGUAUUGGUUUAGGAACGGAUACAGCUAAAGCAGUACGGCCCCCUGGCAGGGAUGCUGUUAUACCAGUAGCGCAUUCACCAUGCCUACGCUAGAGGGCUGUACCAAUUUAACUGGAUUUGUAUAAAAUCACACCCCUAACCAAAAAAUGGUGUAGACCAGGCCUACAUGCAGAAUUAAUGGCUCCCGAGAAUCAGUGGCAGAUUGUUAUCAUGACUUAGGCCCUGAAGGAUGUGAUAUGUGUGUCUUUAUAAAACACUAUGCAGACAUCUGUGGUAUAUAUCGGUAUUAGCAAUAUGCUGCUGUGAACUGCCUCGGUGGUGCUCCUUCCACUUUUAUACAGUUUUUCCUAUUCAGAUUCCUAGGGUUCUAGUCAAUAUAUAUUUUCUGGGCAGAGAAGGAGGAUUUCUCUCGAGUUCUGCACAGUGCCGUUUGCACAAGACCGAAUCCUGUUAAGAUGGCAUAGCUUUUUUUAAAAUCUGCUAACGGUAUUCAGUUUCCUUCUUCAUCAAAAUGUGGACUCUUAUCUUGCAAGCGGGGCCAGAGAAGAGCCUUGCUGAAGUCAGCUGGGGGUCUGUUCAUGUGGUACUUGCAGCUUCAGACAAACCUGUGAUUUUUCAAAUUGAUAGCUGGCUAUCUUAAAAAGAAAAGGAGUACUUGCAUGCAUCCCAUGAAGUGAGCUGUAGCUCACGAAAGCUUACGCUCAAAUAAAUUUGUUAGUCUCUAAGGUGCCACAAGUACUCCUUUUCUUCAUGGUAAGUGGGGCACUUAAGUACUAAGACAGAUAGAAGAUGGUACUAUUGUGUACACUACAGCCAUCUGGUAGUGAUCACUGAAAAGGAAAGUGUUUUCUAUACAAUUGUUGUCUACUGGCAUUAGUAACAUACUAGGGUGUAAAUAUCCUCAAUUCCUGGUAUAACUGUAUGAAUUUCUCAUUUUCAACUGGACCUGCAGACUGCUGUUCAUAACAAACAUACAGCUGUUUACAUGUAAUACUUGUUAUAUAUCAUCUUUCUUUCAUUUAACCGAAGAACCCUUUGCCCAUGAAACCUGCUCUAUCGAUGUAUUCCCUGUGCUCUGAAGCUCUAGAAGGUGUACCGAAACUCCAAAGGGGAAGGAGCUCUCUGCUAUCUGUUUUUGAACGGGAGGGAAUGGCUACAGAAAGUUUCCUUUGAAUAAGAAUUCUUCCAGUGACACUUGAGGAGUCACCAUAAAGAUACAUAGCUCAGAACUGGUUGGGUAGUAGAUUUGAACUGAAAGAAGGGGAAAGGUCUCCUAUCUUGUGUAAUAGAAGGAAGGGAACCUGGAGCACGGGUCUGGUGCAAGGCCUGAUGCCUGAACCAAAGUCAGCAAGAACCAUGCUAUGUACCAAAAUAAGACCCUGUCAUAAAGCAGAUACUUGUUUACAAUUCACUGUCCGGUACAUGAUCUUGGCAAAAACACAGCUAGCGUGGCAAAAACAGAGGCAGUCCUAAGAAGUACUAGGUACUGGAUAUUAAUAUAAAUAGAUUCCAGAAGGCUAAUAUAGAGGUGACACUCUGUACCUCAAAAUAGCACCCUGGAACCCCCACAUUCACCACUGUGAUAUGGUAUGUUUUGUACAAAAUAUGCCCUGUGAGGUAUAAUUUGAGAAGUCAUGAAUAAGGCUGCAAUUUAGUCAUGGCAAUCACAGAUUCCAUGACUUUACUGGACCUCUGUGACUUCUAGGGCUUCAGGAGGCGGAGGCAGAGGCAGGACUGUACGCCGCUGCACUGCUACUGAGGCUGGAACCAGGAGGACCCUGCAGCCCCUGCCCGGCGACUUCCGCCGGGGCCGUGCACCCCAGUUGUGUGGCGUCCAGGGCUUGGGGAGUGCAGGGCUGCAGCAGGGGCUGUGCUCCCUAGCCCCAAGGUCCCGGGCUUGGUGGGGGCUGCGGGCUUGGCGGGGGCUGCAGCCGUGGCCGCGUUCCGCCAAGGGCUGUGCACCCCCUCACGGCUGCCCAGGGCCGUGCACCCCCCCCCCCCAGGGCUGGGGCUGCAGUGAGGCUGUGCACUCCUGUCUCGCAGCUGUGGUCAGAUCCAGGGAGGGCCGCCCCAGGGUGGCCUCUCUUGCUGGAGCCAGGGCUGUGCCUGCCCCGACCAUGGCAGGGGGCUCGGCUUGUCAGUCCCUCCCCAUGGGACUCCAUUCCCCUCCCUUACCUAAUCCUGCCCCUCCCCCCCGGUUAUUUUUAGUAAAGUCACAGACAGGUUACGGGCUCCGUGAAUUUUUGUUUAUUUCCCGUGACUGUCUGUGACUUUUACUAAAAAUAACUGUGACUAAAUCUUAGCCUUAGUCAUGAUCUGUUGAGCAUUACUAUCCUGUUGAAUUAUGUGUUACCAUUGUAUCUGAAAUUAUGAAGUUCUGCUAUAGGUGUGUUACUGAAAUGUUGAGUCUGGGAGACGCCCAUAGCUGGCCUUUCGAUGGCAACAAAGCCAACACCCUCAAGACAGAUUUACAACAGAGCUAGCUGGCCAUCUGUUGAUGGCUCAUUAAGGAGAAUCCAUUCUCCCAGUGGGACCUUCCCGAUGCACAUAGACAAUGGGGAUUGCUUAACCCAGUGACUCAACAGGGGACAUAGAACAUGUGAUCCCUGACUUAUUUGAAACAACAUCUUUCCAUGCACAUGGAUUGGGAUAUAUCAAUUGGAGUCUGUGACAUCAGCCUUGGCCUCUCUCCUCCCCCACCUACUCUGAAGGCAACAAGAAUGUUUGGAAGAAAAGACUUUGAACUGAGGGGAUUCCAGGCUGAGCAAAGAAUUUAGCCCUUACCACUUGAAACAUCCAGUGGGGUGAGAAAAGAUUUUUGAUUCAAAUCUCCCUUAGUCUAAUAAAGUUUAAAAUUUAGACUGUGAUUUUAUUUUUAUUUCUUAUGCAACCAACUUUGACCUCUAACACUUAUAAUCACUUAAAAUCUAUCUUUCUGUAGUUAAUAAACGUAUUUUAAUGUUU